ACGGGUGAGUAAUGCCUAGGAAUCUGCCUGGUAGUGGGGGAUAACGCUCGGAAACGGACGCUAAUACCGCAUACGUCCUACGGGAGAAAGCAGGGGACCUUCGGGCCUUGCGCUAUCAGAUGAGCCUAGGUCGGAUUAGCUAGUUGGUGAGGUAAUGGCUCACCAAGGCGACGAUCCGUAACUGGUCUGAGAGGAUGAUCAGUCACACUGGAACUGAGACACGGUCCAGACUCCUACGGGAGGCAGCAGUGGGGAAUAUUGGACAAUGGGCGAAAGCCUGAUCCAGCCAUGCCGCGUGUGUGAAGAAGGUCUUCGGAUUGUAAAGCACUUUAAGUUGGGAGGAAGGGCAUUAACCUAAUACGUUGGUGUCUUGACGUUACCGACAGAAUAAGCACCGGCUAACUCUGUGCCAGCAGCCGCGGUAAUACAGAGGGUGCAAGCGUUAAUCGGAAUUACUGGGCGUAAAGCGCGCGUAGGUGGUUUGUUAAGUUGGAUGUGAAAUCCCCGGGCUCAACCUGGGAACUGCAUUCAAAACUGACAAGCUAGAGUAUGGUAGAGGGUGGUGGAAUUUCCUGUGUAGCGGU
rnacentral:rRNA from 1 species